GACAGAGGUUGCAAACGUUGUUCGGAAUCACUGGGCAUAAAGCGCACGUAGGCGGCUGACUAAGUCAAAUGUGAAAUCCCUCGGCUCAACCGGGGAACUGCGUCUGAUACUGGUCGGCUUGAGAACGGUAGGGGUGAGCGGAACUCCAGGUGGAGCGGUGAAAUGCGUAGAUAUCUGGAGGAACACCGGUGGCGAAAGCGGCUCACUGGACCGUCACUGACGCUGAGGUGCGAAAGCUAGGGUAGCAAAC
rnacentral:rRNA from 1 species